GAGUUUGAUCAUGGCUCAGAACGUACGCUGGCGGCACGCCUAACACAUGCAAGUCGAACGAAGUAGCAAUACUUAGUGGCAGACGGGUGAGUAACAUGUAGGUAUCUGCCCUUUGGCCUGGAAUAACACGAGGAAACUUGUGCUAAUACCGGAUAAGUCUUUACGGAGAAAGCUUUAUGCACCAUUGGAUGAGCCUGCACUUGAUUAGUUUGUUGGUGGGGUAAUGGCCUACCAAGACUGUGAUCAAUAGCUGAUUUGAGAGGAUGAUCAGCCACAUUGGGACUGAGACACGGCCCAAACUCCUACGGGAGGCAGCAGUGGGGAAUCUUGCACAAUGGAGGAAACUCUGAUGCAGCGAUGCCGCGUGAGUGAAGAAGGCCCUUGGGUUGUAAAGCUCUUUCGUCGGGGAAGAAAAUGACUGUACCCGAAUAAGAAGGUCCGGCUAACUUCGUGCCAGCAGCCGCGGUAAUACGAAGGGACCUAGCGUAGUUCGGAAUUACUGGGCUUAAAGAGUUCGUAGGUGGUUGAAAAAGUUGGUGGUGAAAUCCCAGAGCUUAACUCUGGAACUGCCAUCAAAACUUUUCAGCUAGAGUUUGAUAGAGGAAAGCAGAAUUUCUAGUGUAGAGGUGAAAUUCGUAGAUAUUAGAAAGAAUACCAAUUGCGAAGGCAGCUUUCUGGAUCAUUACUGACACUGAGGAACGAAAGCAUGGGUAGCGAAGAGGAUUAGAUACCCUCGUAGUCCAUGCCGUAAACGAUGUGUGUUAGACGUUGGAAAUUUAUUUUCAGUGUCGCAGCGAAAGCGAUAAACACACCGCCUGGGGAGUACGACCGCAAGGUUAAAACUCAAAUGAAUUGACGGGGACCCGCACAAGUAGUGGAGCAUGUGGUUUAAUUCGAAGAUACGCGCAGAACCUUACCAACACUUGACAUGUUCGUCGCGACUUUAAGAGAUUAAAGUUUUCGGUUCGGCCGGACGAAACACAGGUGCUGCAUGGCUGUCGUCAGCUCGUGUCGUGAGAUGUUGGGUUAAGUCCCGCAACGAGCGCAACCCUCACUUUUAGUCGCCAUCAUUUAGUUGGGCACUCUGAAAGAACUGCCAGUGAUAAGCUGGAGGAAGGUGGGGAUGACGUCAAGUCCUCAUGGCCCUUACGUGUUGGGCUACACACGUGCUACAAUGGUAUUUACAACAGGAAGCAAGACGGCGACGUUAAGCAAAUCCUUAAAAAAUACCUCAGUUCGGAUUGCACUCUGCAACUCGAGUGCAUGAAGCUGGAAUUACUAGUAAUCGUGGAUCAGCGUGCCACGGUGAAUGCGU
rnacentral:rRNA from 1 species